GCAGCAUUAGCUGAAAAUUAUUUUCAAUCCGGCAACAAAACUAGUGUUAUUAUACAGAAUAUGAUGAUUGUACUCAUACAGUGGGUAUGCUUAUACUAAAGCCUCAUCUAUGAGGUGGUUGAUCAUGGACCCCCACAUUGGCCCUGUCUGUACGGUAAGCAUGAGGAGAUGGAUCGGAAUUGAUGCUUUUUGAUUAAGGAAAGCACAAAACCCUGC